CCUCUCGCCUGGCAGGGGUGAUACCAUCAUCACGAAAGUGGUUCACCCAGGGCGAGGCUCUGCCGUUGCACUUCGGUGCUGCUGACCCUUGCGAAUUCCCCAAAUGCGAGAAUAAUAAUCGACCGCAUAAUUUCUGGUAGUGGGGGACUGCGUUCAUGCUCUCCAUAA
ensembl:snRNA U1 U1 spliceosomal RNA